rnacentral:rRNA from 1 species
UAGGGAAUCUUCCGCAAUGGACGAAAGUCUGACGGAGCAACGCCGCGUGAGUGAAGAAGGAUUUCGGUUCGUAAAACUCUGUUGUUAGGGAAGAAAAAAUGUAUAGUAACUAUAUACAAAAGAGACGGUACCUAACCAGAAAGCCACGGCUAACUACGUGCCAGCAGCCGCGGUAAUACGUAGGUGGCAAGCGUUGUCCGGAAUUAUUGGGCGUAAAGCGCGCGCAGGUGGUUUAGAAAGUGUGAUGUGAAAGCCCACGGCUCAACCGUGGAGGGUCAUUGGAAACUAAUAAACUUGAGUGCAGGAGAGAAAAGUGGAAUUCCUAGUGUAGCGGUGAAAUGCGUAGAGAUUAGGAGGAACACCGGUGGCGAAAGCGGCUUUUUAGCCUGCAACUGACACUGAGGCGCGAAAGCGUGGGGAGCAAACAGG